rnacentral:rRNA from 1 species
UACGAAGGGGGCUAGCGUUGCUCGGAAUGACUGGGCGUAAAGGGCUCGUAGGUGGCCAACUAAGUCGGACGUGAAAUCCCUCAGCUUAACUGGGGAACUGCGUCCGAUACUGGAUGGCUUGAGUUUGGGAGAGGUGAGUGGAACUCCGAGUGUAGAGGUGAAAUUCGUAGAUAUUCGGAAGAACACCAGUGGCGAAGGCGACUCACUGGCCCGAUACUGACGCUGAGGCGCGAAAGCGUGGGGAGCAAACAGGG